rnacentral:tRNA from 1 species
GGAGAGGUGACAGAGUGGUCGAAUGUGCUCGAUUGGAAAUCGAGUGUGCGUCAAAAGCGUACCGGGGGUUCGAAUCCCCCCUUCUCCG